UAUAGCAAUUUUUCCUGUUCC
rnacentral:piRNA from 1 species